rnacentral:rRNA from 1 species
AGGACGAACGCUGGCGGCGUGCCUAACACAUGCAAGUCGAACGGAGAAAUCAGCAAUGAUUUCUUAGUGGCGAACGGGUGAGUAACACGUAGACAACCUGCCUUCCAGAUGGGAACAACAAUCCGAAAGGGUUGCUAAUACCGAAUGUGUUUGUUUCUUCAUAAGAAGAGACAAAGAAAGAUGGCCUCUAUUUAUAAGCUAUCGCUGGAAGAUGGGUCUGCGUCUGAUUAGCUAGUUGGUGGGGUAAUGGCCUACCAAGGCGACGAUCAGUAGCCGGUCUGAGAGGAUGAACGGCCACACUGGGACUGAGACACGGCCCAGACUCCUACGGGAGGCAGCAGUGGGGAAUCUUCCACAAUGGGCGAAAGCCUGAUGGAGCAACGCCGCGUGAGUGAAGAAGGCUUUCGGGUCGUAAAACUCUGUCUUCAGGGACGAAUGUGCGGAUUGUGAAUAAUGAGUCGCAAUGACGGUACCUGAGGAGGAAGCCACGGCUAACUACGUGCCAGCAGCCGCGGUAAUACGUAGUGGCAAGCGUUGUCCGGAAUUAUUGGGCGUAAAGCGCGCGCAGGCGGGAACAUUAGUCUAUCUUAAAAGUGCGGAGCUCAAC